GUAUUUUAGUUGCUUAAUUUCAGUGUUAAAGUUUGUAAUGUGAACUUAAAAGUAAUGACCAUAGGUGCUAUUCACUUGUGUGCUGUUGGCGAAUAUUGAAGCGUUGAAAUAUUUAAGCUUCAUAUGUUUGUUUGUUGUGCUUAGUGUGAAGCAAAAAUGUGUGCUAAAGUGUUAUAAAUUAGAAAUAUGUAUACGUAUCCGUCUAAUGUUCGGUUGUACCUAUCUAAUUUUCCAUAUUUUUGGGUGUCCUUAUCCUUUACCAGGAGAAAACUAUAGAUGGAGGUUAGAUACGUGCAGCUAUUUGCCUCCGCAGGAAGGUAUGUUAAUUAAAGUUGUUGUAUUUGUAAUUUUUCAUUACGCUGCAAUUAAAUAACUUAUCGUAUAAAAUUUGCCGUUUAACAUUAUGAAUAAUCGAUGUUAUCAGUGUUCUUCAGAAGUGUUCCAAGCUGUCCGAAGACACACAAAUCCGCAAUCCACAAUCCAAGCACACAAAUCCGAUUCACCUCGUAUGCACCCAGCGGAUUUCAUGCGAAGGAUAUUGGAAAGCCAUCAAAGAAGUGGGCAUGAUGGUAAGGAAACUUUGAUUCUUUUUACUUUUAGAUUUCUUAUCCUUAUUUUUGUUUACAACAACCUGAGAUCGUCGGUGCGGGCCUUAUGGGAACUGCGCGGUCAGAGCAAUAACCGGAUGAGCAUUUCGUUUCAGGUGGAAAUUAUAUCAAGUUUGUGAAUUGAAGAGAGUUACGGCACAUUGUGCCACACUAAAUAAAUUUAUUUUUAUUUCUUCCUUCUAUGGCAGCUUGUUUUAACAUUUCCCUGUAUGUUUACUCUUGCCGGUGCUUGUGUCAGUUUUCAUUUUAAAUAUUCUUUAUCAUAUUCUUUAUCUAUGUCUAUUCCCACGUGGUUUGUGGCGAUAGACUUAAAUAAGCACUGUAUUUGGGUAGUUACUAAAAGCUAUUUUUUCCUGACGAUCCUUCCCAGCUACACCGUGCAAGAAAAGUCCCAUCAAACAACACGUCUAAAGCCUCAUGCAUCCUGUUGUUGGCAUCCUGGCGGCUGAUAUCUGCAUCUAUUAUUUAAGUAUAACUGCAAAAUGCAAAAUCAUCUCCAGCUAUUUUUGCUUCAAAUGCAUCAAACUUUUGUUCAUUUUCGAUUUUUUCUAUUGAUAAACUCUGCGCAUUUCUUCUCAUACCCUUCAUAGGAUUCAGUAUUGUGGACUGCUAAUUUAAAAUAACCAUAAUCUGUGCGCUGCGUGCAUCUAUUUUCAUUAACAGCAUCCGACAACGAAGGCAGCAGCUUCCAGAAUGCUCUGUAGAAGUAAUUGAAAGGACUGCUUGAUUUGCUCCUGCUGCAGCCUGGUGUUCAUAGUCGGUGAUCAUCAUUAUUGGUGAUGAAGGCAGCACAGGCAAAUUUAUCACAACAGGACCAGUUGCUCGUUCAGUCGUUAUGUACGAUGUACCGGUGCUUGUCGAUGGCACUUGGUUACCACCAUCAACUAUCUUGCCUGGCGGACGGAUCUGGCUAGGAACACAGCUCACAAUACAAACAGAUCCUCUAGCAGCCGCUAUCACCGAUGCAGAAGCACUGGUGGGUAAUUGUUGUCUUACAACAGCGGACAU